UUACUACUUUAUCUCCCUGAGCAGGAGUCAUUCCAUUACUAUUUACUCCCUGAGCAGGAGUAAUUCAUUACUUUAUCUCCCUGAGCAGGAGUCAUUCCAUUACUUUAUCUCCCUGAGCAGGAGUCUUUCAUUACUUUAUCUCCCUAAGCAGGAGUCAUUCAUUACUUUAAUACUUUAUCUCCCGAAGCGGAGUCAUUCAUUACUUCAUCUUCCCUGAGCAGGAGUCAUUCCAUUACUUUAACUCUCCUAAGCAGGAGUCAUUCAUUACUUUAUCUCCCUGAGCAGGAGUCAUUCAUUACUUUAUCUCCCUGAGCAGGAGUCAUUCCUUUACUUUAUCCCCUGAGCAGGAGUAUGCCAUUACUUUAUCUCCCUGAGCACGAGUCAUUCCAUUACUUUUAUCUCCCUGAGCAGGAGUCAUUCAUUACACUUAUCUCCCUGAGCAGGAGUCAUUCCAUUACUUUAUCUCCCUAAGCAGGAGUCCCAUUACUUUAUCUCCCUGAGCAGGAGUAUUCCAUUACUUAUCUCCCUGAGCUGGAGUCAUUCAAUCCACUACACACAUUCCAACAUUUUCCCUUUGUCUUCCACAGGUGUUCCAUUUGAGGUGGAAAGACAGUGAACUGGGGCAGUGAUACAUUUGGAUUCAACCUCCAGAACAGCUGAAUAACCUCCGUACAUCUUGAAUGCUGCUUCACAUCUCCCAAAACCCUUCACCCCUCAGGGUGUUCCGUUCAGCCCUUCACCCCUCAGGGUGUUAUCCCGUUCAGCCCUUCACCCCUCAGGGUGUUCCGUUCAGCCCUUCACCCCUCAGGGGUGUUUUCCGUUCAGCCCUUCACCCUCAGGGUGUUCCUUCAGCCCUCACCCUCAGGGUGUUCCGUUCAGCCCUUCACCCCCAGGGUGUUCCGUUCAGCCCUUCCACCCCUCAGGGUGGUUCCGUUUCAGCCCUUCUUCACCCCUCAGGGUUUUCGUUCAGCCCUUCACCCCUCAGGGUGUUUGUUCACCCCUCAGGGGUGUUCUGUUAACCCCUCAGGGUGUUCUGUUCACCCUCAGGUGUUUCUGUUCAGCCCUUCACCCCUCAGGGUGUUUCGUUCACCCCUCAGGGUGUUCUGUUCAGCCAUUCACCCCUCAGGUGUUCUGUUUCACCCCUCAGGGUGUUCUGUUCAGCAGCCCUUCACCCCUCAGUGUGUUCUGUCACCCCUCAGGGUGUUCUGUUCAGCCAGCCAUCACCCCUCAGGGUGUUCUGUUCACCCCUCAGGGUGUUCCGUUCACCCCUCUGGGUGUUCCGUUCACCCCUCGGGGUGUUCCGUUCACACCACCUCGGGGUGUUCCGUUCACCCCUCGGGGGGUUCCGUUCACCACCCUCGGGGUGUUCCGUUCAGCCUUCACCCCCCUCGGGGUGUCCUUUCAGCCUUCACCUCACCCCUCGGGUGUUCCGUUCACAGGAGCCCUUCACCCCUCGGGGUGUUCCGUUCAGCCCUUCACCCCUCGGGGUGUUCCGUCAGCCCUUCACCCCUCGGGGUUCCGUUCAGCCCCGCCCCUCGGGGUGUCCGUUCAGCCCUUCCACUCGGG
rnacentral:lncRNA from 1 species